CUGCGCCCCAAGGGUACCUUAAUUCAACAUCGAGGUCGUAAGCCUCCUUUUUGAUUAGGGCUCUAAAGAAGAUCACGCUGUUAUCCCUAAAGUAAUUUAAUCUAUAGGUUCCGAGGUCUUCAUUUCCAUACAUUUAUGUAAUAAACCCUACAGCUUUUCUGUGCAUGUCGUCCCAACCAAACCUUAAACAUCUACUAACUAAAAUAUCUUGACAAGAUAAAAUUUUAUAGGGUCUUAUCGUCCCCCGGGGAAUCUUAGGCAUUUUCACCUAAACACAAUUUAUACAGGAGAACCUGGAAAAAGGGGUCUCACGUCAACCCUUUCAUUCUAGCUUCCAAUUGAAAAACAAAUUAUUUUGCUACCUUAAUACAGCCUAAAUACUGCAACUCUUUACUAAAAAGCAGGGAGCAGGGACUACCUUCAAUAAKACCUCUAAAGGAGAUGUUU
rnacentral:rRNA from 1 species